rnacentral:rRNA from 1 species
UUACCGAGUUUUCGAGCUCCGGCUCGACUCUCCCACCCUUUGUGAACGUACCUCUGUUGCUUUGGCGGCUCCGGCCGCCAAAGGACCUUCAAACUCCAGUCAGUAAACGCAGACGUCUGAUAAACAAGUUAAUAAACUAAAACUUUCAACAACGGAUCUCUUGGUUCUGGCAUCGAUGAAGAACGCAGCGAAAUGCGAUAAGUAAUGUGAAUUGCAGAAUUCAGUGAAUCAUCGAAUCUUUGAACGCACAUUGCGCCCCUUGGUAUUCCGGGGGGCAUGCCUGUUCGAGCGUCAUUACAACCCUCAAGCUCUGCUUGGAAUUGGGCACCGUCCUCACUGCGGACGCGCCUCAAAGACCUCGGCGGUGGCUGUUCAGCCCUCAAGCGUAGUAGAAUACACCUCGCUUUGGAGCGGUUGGCGCCCCCCGCGGGACGAACUUUCUGAACUUUUCUCAAGGUUGACCUCGGAUCAGGUAGGGA